UGGAAUACAAAGUACAAAGUAGAAAGUACAAACCAAACAGGGAAACAUCGUCGAUUGAAGUUUCUACAUAGCCAAUCUCGAACCAGGAAUCACCUCCGUUUUCAUGGCAUCAAUGUACACAGCUUUCUAAUUACAGCACCACCCUUAUAAAUUGAUAAACCCAUAAACAGAUUUGACUCAAAAAGGUGCCUUUCGAUCGGAAUUGAUCAAAUUUUGGCCACACAACAUCUAGUUUCUGAAGCUAUACACUCCAUAGUCGUCCUUCAAAGCCAAAUUUGACUUUUUUUAAAUCAAUAAUUUGUUAUAUAGCCAAGAUGGAAGAGGAGAUGAUUACACUACAAAACAUAAUGCCGGUAGAUCUUGCAAUCAAAAGGGAGUUAGAAUAUCGUAAAAAGAUGGAAAUAUCAAGAAACCAACAUCAAAACAACUUAAAACCUCUUGUAGCCUCACAGGGCCCACCAAUUCAAUCCUGGAAAGAAGAUUACAAAAUGGCAGCAAGCGGGUCCCAUAAGUCUCGGAUGUUUCAGUUUUCUUCAACCCGUCAAACCUUGCGAGAAAAACGCGUGUUUUCUUGCAAGGCUUGUCAGUUGACUUUUGGUACUGUUUUUGACCUUAGUGGUCAUGUUGUAAGUCAACAACAUAAAUUCAAUGUAUCUGAGAUGAAGAAGAGGAAACAAGCCAUAAGCAAUCCGAUUUGGUGCGAAUUAUGUAAAUCAUCGUGUUCAAGUUUGGGCGAAAUGGAACGUCAUCUUAACGGGUCACGCCAUUUGAUGAGGAUUUGAAAUUAUAAUAAUAAAAAAAAUAAUAAUUUGUUAUUCGGUAGUUGUAGUUUGAUUUUGAUCUAAUGAAACAUGUUGUACUUUGUAGGCUUUGAAAUUUUGUUAUGGAAGUUAUUUGUAUUAGAUUCAAAAUCGUUGAAAUUUUCAUUCAGGUGCGGGGUUUGGAAGGUCAAAGGAUGGUUGACCGAAAGCGAAAGGUACAACCCUCCAAUGCACGGUUUAUUUGUGUGGUUUGUGAUAUGGCGUUUGCUAGUGUGUUUCAUUUGAAGAUGCAUGGUGAAACUUAUGCUCAUAGAAGUAAUCUUUGUAUGGCGAGAAAUGGGGGUGAAAAUGUGAGUAAUCCGUUUUUAUGUGAGGUUUGUGAUAUUUUGUGUUCAAGUGGGAAAGUAAUGAAGCUUCAUGCUGCUGGGGUAAAACAUAAGGGUUAUCUUCAAGAGUUUGAGGAUGCAAGAAGAGCAAGAUUUUAUGGUAAUUUUGGUUCAUAUCAGUAAGAUUAGGACUAUGUUUUUUUUUUUUUUUUUUUUUUUUUUGCUCUAAAAACUUGUAUGAAUGAACUCUUGAAAUUCUGCUGUUUUUUUUGGAUCCGGAGUACUCCACAAUCAUGAAAUAAUGACUUGUGUUUUUUGCAACAGAAGUUGUGUCAUGCAAUGACUUGUACAUGACACAACUUAUGUUUAAAUAAAAACUAAAAACUUUCGGCUUAGUUUUGUCAACAUGCACUCUAAGUUAAAUGUGGCCAAACUUUUUUUUUUUUUUUUUUUUUUUUUAUGUAUUUUUAACCAACAAAUUCAGACCAACUAUAGACCAAUAACAUUGUGAAACCUGUAAUUUGAUGGACAAAUUUUGAUAUGAUUUUGAUUUUAGGUUUCACCUAUAAAUUCAUUGAUUUCGUGUUGUGAUGGAUGAUGACUAUUUCAUUGAAAUCCUAAAUUCAAACCCAAAAUCCAGAAGAAAAAUCCUAAACCUGAAUGUGAACAACAUAAACAUGUAUGUAUGAAGAUUGAAGAUGUAAUGUAAUCAACCGAUAAUUGAGGGUACAACUGAAUCUACAAAAGGUACAACUACUACUCUUCUCAUAGUCAUUCGACUCCGACCUUCUUUUUCAACAUUGCAAUGAACUCGUCCCUUUCUUGUGGAGACAUUCCUUCAGCCGAACAAUCACCAAUCCCCCAUUCAGCUCCUCUUAAGCAAUACUUGUCUUGAGUCGCUUGUCGAUUCCUGACAAAUCAUAUCCGUUCAUUAUCCCCACAAAUUAAUCACCACUCAUUAAUAACAUCGAUCUACAAUCACAUAUUCAAUCAGAUUAUGUAAACAAUACUUACUUUUCUUUGUUCACCUUGGAUCGCUCAAGCAAUUCCUUAAGCAACGGAGUCUCCUUGAAUCUCGCAUCAUUUUCUGCAUACUUUUUUUGAUUCUCUUCUGCAGAAAAUGGAAUCCAAAUUCUUAGAUAAUUUUAGAUUGUGAUGUAAUCAAUUGAAUCGGAAUAGCAGCACACAGUACCAUUGAAACGAGCGAAGGAAUCAAUCUUCGGUAGUUCGGGACCAGGCAUCGAUUCCAAUCCUGAGAACCCCGAAAGCAAUCCGGCGUGCGCUAUAGCCAUGAUCAUGAAAACAAUUACCUUAUGCAUAAGAAGUAAUACAGAUACCCUAGUGAACAUAAGCAGAUGUGUAUUUACCAGGGAAUGGAGAGAGAAGAAGAGUCAUUGAAGCAGCUAAAGGAAGGAGAGACUUGUCAAACCAGCUUCUUCUCUGGAAUAUCAAUGCCGGAGGUGGCGAACAUUGUGAAAGAUGGUUAAAUGGUUGUCUGCCGGCGGUGAUGGUGGUGGACGGUGGUGUUGAAAAGGUGGUGUGCCAUAGAGGUCCAAAUGAAGAA